rnacentral:rRNA from 1 species
GUCUCAGUUCGGAUUGUAGUCUGCAACUCGACUACAUGAAGCUGGAAUCGCUAGUAAUCGCAGAUCAGAAUGCUGCGGUGAAUACGUUCCCGGGUCUUGUACACACCGCCCGUCACACCAUGGGAGUCGGAAAUGCCCGAAGCCGGUGACCCAACCAAAAGGAGGGAGCCGUCGAAGGCAGGUCUGAUAACUGGGGUGAAGUCGUAACAAGGUAUC